GGACUACUGGGGUAUCUAAUCCUGUUUGCUCCCCACGCUGUCGCGCAUCAGUGUCAGUUGUGGCCCAGCCAACCGCCUUCGCCACCGGUGUUCUUCCGGAUCUCUACGCAUUCCACCGCUACACCCGGAAUUCCAUUGGCCUCUACCACACUCAAGCUCGGGAGUAUCACCGGCCGACUCAGGGUUGAGCCCUGAGCUUUCACCGACGACUACCCGUGCCACCUACGCGCCCUUUACGCCCAGUGAUUCCGGACAACGCUCGCACCCUCCGUAUUACCGCGGCUGCUGGCAC
rnacentral:rRNA from 1 species